UGCACUCAAGUUUGCUCAGGUGUGUGUGUG
rnacentral:piRNA from 1 species